GCUUGAUAUACACAUAGCCUUUGGAGCACAUAUUAGGUGGUCGCCCUUUGGAUAUAGCUCUGUACAUGUGUAUGAUCACUAUUUUUUUUGCUCUUGGGUUAUUUUUAUGUCAUUAUAAAGCCCAAGGUACCAACAUUACUCACAAGCUGCCAGAGUUUAUUAUUGUGCUUAAGAUGCCAGUGUUAUAUACAUAAAGCAUUUUGC
rnacentral:misc_RNA from 1 species